ensembl:lncRNA
CCGGAGAGUUCCUCAAACAUGAAAACUUAAGCACAUGAUGUGAGAUCAUGAGUCUGUAGCUUCUGAAACAAUGUGAAAAAAAUAGCAGGAAAUGCUUACAGAAGCACAUUUAUUUUCUGGGCUGAAAUAUCUUCAUACAUCCCACUGCUUGCAUAAACACCGCCUACUUAGGCAUGCAAGUGUCUUAGUCAAAGUUGAAUUAAAUGUAUUUCAAAUAGAGUACAGCAGCUUUUGCACCUUGCAAAUUAAAUCUUUUUACUUCCAUGCCUUUCAGCAGACAUUUACGAAUUGCUUGCAGCUUUUGUAGUUUUGCUUGACUCGAGGGGACAAAGCUUUUCAGUCUGUAGCACUAAGACUCUGGACCAGUUUACCGCUCCAGCUCCAUUUGGCUGGCUUUUUAAAAACAGUUAAAAGCCUUUUCUGUUUAAUCAGGCCUCCUGCUGACAUUUUGUUUUUUUGUUUGUUUGUUUUUUUUUUGUUUUUUUCCUAAUUCUGCUUUAACAAGAUUCUCUGUUGAUAUUGCAUUUUAACUGUUGUUCGGCACUUUCCGGCUGUUAAGUCUGUGAAAAGCACUAUCUAAACUUAUUUAGUCAAAAGCUACAUUUCUAAAGAUACUUUUAUCCCAAAUCCUCUACACCUGCUCUUUAGCUUUGCUUAAAAAUAAACUGGGUUAAUGUGUAGGGUUUACAUGAGUUUGCUCUUGGCAUUUACAAACUCUCUGUGGACCUCAUGAACCCUCACAGAAGUGUGCCUGCAUUGUGUGUGUGUGCGCGUGUGCGGUCCUCUGUCUCAUGCCACAGGUAGCAUUGGACGUAUUUGCUCUGUGGUUAAUUAAUUACAGGCCCUUGGAGCCGAGAAAAGGGCAAAGCAAUGGCAGAAAAUCUAUCAUAUCAUUCCCCUCGUGGUCGCAAGACUGAUUCAAAUAUCUCUCCAACUUUAAAGAGUUACAUGAAUUAAGAUAAGUUGGCUCCUCUCCAGUGUAGCAUGCACCAAUUGCGUUCCUGUGCUGAUGAGAAACAUGAGUCACUCUGUGAACACAUGAACAACUCAUUUAAAAAACAAAAACACUUUUCACUUAAAAAAAAGAAAAAAAAGUGAGUACUUUUUGUUUUAGUGCCACAAACAAGCAUUUAACAAGCAGUUAACCUGCUGGCUGUUAUUGUGCAGUUACUGGUCUUACGUAAGCCAAACAGGUAGAUGCCGUUGGGCCAAAAGUG